AUGGCCAUUAUCAUGUGGAAACACCGGUUCUCGUACGAUCGCCGAAGUUAAGCAACAUCUAGUCUGUUCAGUAACUAGUUGGGUAAUCACUUGGGCAUGCCAGGUGCUGUAAG